rnacentral:misc_RNA from 2 species
CCCUGGCGCCCAAUACGCAAACCGCCUCUGCCCGCGGGCG